rnacentral:misc_RNA from 1 species
GUGAAUCAUCAAAUUUUUGAACGCAAAUUGCGAGGACGGGAAGGAAGGGAAGGAGGCCGGGGUGAGGGGCAGUAUUAACAAAAAUCGGUGUGGUUGGAAAGGGUGAGGGGGCCGGAGUUUGGGCUAUCUUAACUUUUUUGGUUAAGGGGCUUAAAAUUGACCUUUUUUGCGCAUUUUUAGACGUACAUAAAUUUUUUUUUUAUUCGUCUAUGGGGAAGGAGAAAAUCUUAUUAGAUGCGAGAAAAGGGUGUGGUUGCGUGUCAAGAAAAGUUUCAUGAUUUGACCUCAAAUCAGGUAGGAG